UGGCGUCAAUGGAACACAAAUAAUCAAGUUGCUGGUUAUACGAGAUCUUACUCCAACAAAAUGACUUAUGCAACAUUGAAGGGAUCCGGACACACAGCUUGUACGGAUAAACCUGAAGAAUGUUUUGCUAUGUUCAAAAGAUGGAUAAGUCACAAUCCUCUAUAAUGUU